rnacentral:tRNA from 1 species
GGGCCCGUAGUUCAGUGGUAGAACAACGGUCUCUUAAGCCGUGUGUCGGAGGUUCGAAUCCUCCCGGGCUCA